GAGUUCCCUGUCCGGACUCUCCUUCCUCCGUCGUGCUGCACGUUGAGGAAGAGGCACCUGCGUCGUCCUCUGCUGAACCCCCUGCUUCCCGCAGGGGAAAACCCAGGCCCUGCGAGACUGGCUGACCCGCCUGGGGACACGAGGUCACAGCGGCGGGAGGAGGUUGGGCUAAGCGGCCGAAAGCACCGAGCACCGAGCACCGAGC